AAGCUGGGGACAAAGAGGAGACUCAAAGGGAGGUUGUGGAGCGAGAAAGAGAGACAGAGAGAGAGAAAGGGGGGAUGUGUGUGAGAGGACACUGAGUUUUGUUAUUAACAUGCUCUCUCAGUCUGGAUUUUCCAAAAAGUGUUGCAAUUGUUGCUAUGUUUACUAACUUUCCUUGCUUUGUUCUGCAUCUAAUCAUAUGUGUCCAAGACUGAGUAUGCUUGACUGUCUGCUCAUGCACACAGUACGUGCAUGCGUUGUGCGUUAGGCUGGGUCAGCUGGUACCAUGGGACUGAUUUUAUGAACAAUAGCAGUAGGUUUCCUCCAGAGGGGAGUGCUAAAGAAGAACAUCUGUAUGGCAUCAAGGCAAUGGAGAGAAUGAAGGAGAGUUAAAGGUGGGAGGAGAAGGAAAUGGAGGAUUCUUGGCAUUGGACUCUGUGUUUUGGAAAAUACAACAACGCAGACUCUCAAUCAAUAAAGCAAGCAGGUCAUGCAUAUUGGAACUACAUGAAUAAGAGAGGGAACAUUUCUCCAACUCUACACAAGAUUAUCGAGACUGACUGAAUUUGUGGCUUCAGCUUCCUUGGUGAGAAACUGGACUCUGGUGCUGCCCCGCCAUUACGGUGCGGAAACACUUGGCCAGUGGUUUGGGGUCAUCGCUGGGUCUGUCUGCACACUUCUGGACACAGGGCAGGGUGGAUGCCUGGCUGUUAAGACACAUCAUGCACAAGGAGAAUGGCAGGAAACAGAAGAGGAAUUUAUAUGCGGGAAUGGCAAUAGAUGGGUAGGUCAACAGGAUGUUGAGGGAGGAGAGGAGCCCAUCAGACUGAAUGGAGAAGCACCAGCAUUGUCAUCACCUUUCCUCCACCCCGUUGGUCAAAUCAUUACUGAUGUCUGUGCCUGGGAAGUCUCUCCAAACUGAGUUACUCUGCAUUCACCCUCCUAAUCCUCCUAAAAAGAGGAAAGCCUCUCAACUUCCAGAAUGUGUGUUGAUAGUUUUAUCUUAACAAACUUUAACAAAAUUUAUUGUGGCACUGCACAUGUCCCAUCCUGGCCACCAGGACUAUUUUUGGGAACAGUAACAAUUUAGCCACAUGAUCUCUCUUGCAAUGUUCUCAAAUUCAUGCAUUUUAGCAAAAUGUGAGCUUUUAAUGUAACCAAUAUUACCUCCAUAUUUAUACCUGUUUGCCUAUAAAGUCACAUGUCAGUCAUGCUCCUAUAAUAGCUUCAUCCAGCUGGCUCUAAGACUCAAAAAAUACCAAAACCUCUUUUAAAAAAAAGCCAAACAUUAUCCUGAGGGUCAGAUUCUUUCUUACCAUGUGCUGAUCCUCGUGAUAUCCUGGCAGUGUCCCCCUCACUGCACAGAUAUUCUUUGUGCAUUUAAACUAAAAUAAGUCAAAUGUUAAGAUAGGGCGGGUAACUACAGGGGGGAGAAGGAAGGGAGAAAGAGAUAUAAGUUAAAUCCGCCAGAAAUACUCCCCUGCCAGGCUUAGCUAAUCAGGAUUCUUCAGCUGUAAUCAGACACAUGCUUCGCAUUCAAAUACAUGUUAACUGUACUGUGCAAAGAUAAUCUUCCACAAAUGAAUAUCAUGCCAGAGGAGAAGUUGGAAGAUGGAUUUGAAAACAUGGUGAAUAUGUCCACAUAUUUAUAUUACCCUGGCCUAUUACUUUUAAUCAGGUUUUCACUGCAUCAUGUUGCAUUGUUUUCCUUUAUUUCUGUUUGAGCAGUUUAAGGGUUAAUCCACUGUGUUACACCCCUUCAAAAAUGAUUUUCUAAUAGUGUGAUAAUGAGACAAAAUUACUGCCAAAGAUUGGCAAUUGGAUUUGAUUCCCACCAGACCUAUUUUAAAUACUAUUAUACCAACUUUCUUUAUGUUUGUUUCCACUUCUUUUGAGAUGAAAAGAUAAGGAUAUUUCUAUGUAAAAGUGUGAAGUAUUUUUUGUC